AUGGCUUCUCGUCAGGAUCAGGCUAGCUACCACGCCGGGGAGGCCAAGGCCCGCGCCGAGGAGAAGACGGGGUACGUCGUGGGCGCGGCGCAGGACAAGGCGCGGGAGGCCAAGGACACGGCGUCCGACGCCGCGGGCCGCGCCAUGGGCAGGGGCGGCGACGCCAAGGAGGCGACCAAGGAGAAGGCGUACGAGGCCAAGGACGCGGCGUCGGACGCCACUGGCCGCGCCAUGGACAAGGGCCGCGGCGCCGCGGAGGCCACCAAGGAGAAGGGCUACGAGGCCAAGGACAACGCGGCCGGCACCGCGCAGCAGACCGGGAGCUACAUCGCCCAGACGGCCGAGGCCGCCAAGCAGAAGGCCGGCGCCGCCGCGCAGUAUGCCAUGGACACCGCCGUCGCCGGCAAGGACAAGACCGGCAGCCUCCUCGUGCAGGCAGGGGAGACGGUGAAGGGCGCGGCUGUGGGGGCGAAGGACGCGGUGAUGAACACGAUCGGAAUGGGCGGUGGCACCAACGGCAGCACGGACGUCCCCGCCAAGGAUACCAGCACGUACAAGCCUGGGACCAGGGAUUACUAA
rnacentral:rRNA from 1 species